rnacentral:rRNA from 1 species
GAUGAACGCUGGCGGUAUGCUUAACACAUGCAAGUCGAACGAAGUCUUCGGACUUAGUGGCGGACGGGUGAGUAACGCGUAAGAAUCUACCUAUAGGUUCGGGACAACAGUUAGAAAUGACUGCUAAUACCGCAUGAGAUCUACGGAUGAAAGCAGGGGAUCGCAAGACCUUGCGCGAUUGGAGCGGCUGAUGUCAGAUUAGGUAGUUGGUGGGGUAAAAGCCUACCAAGCCGACGAUCUGUAGCUGGUUUGAGAGAACGACCAGCCACACUGGGACUGAGACACGGCCCAGACUCCUACGGGAGGCAGCAGUGGGGAAUUUUGGACAAUGGGCGAAAGCCUGAUCCAGCAAUGCCGCGUGCAGGAAGAAGGCCUUCGGGUUGUAAACUGCUUUUGUACGGAACGAAACGGUCUGGGCUAAUACCCCGGGCUAAUGACGGUACCGUAAGAAUAAGCACCGGCUAACUACGUG